GUCCCCGGCGUCCGGGCGCCCUGCAUGGAUCCCCCACCCCAGCUCCUGCUCCCCGGCGGCGGCCGGUGGGCAGAAAGACCGAAACCCACUCACGGCCGCCUGCCGAAUCGCGGCUCUGCUGUUUGUGGGGCGUGCUAGAAACGUGGUCCUAAAAAGAAUGGCGUCCAUUUACAUAAUGCUUUGUUUGCGUUUCGCAAGUUUCUUUCGGUUAAAGCCACAGAAACCCCACCUCCUGCCCUUGUGUCGUUUCCACCGCGGCACCCUUUUCCGACAUUAGAAACAAUAGUGUACGCCUGUGGAGGCCUCGUUUGUUCAGGGGCUGCCGGCCAGGGCUUCAGGACGUUUCUGCGGCUUUCCCCGCGCGGCCUGGGCUCCCGCGGCUGCUUUUCGGGCCCAUGGGCGCAGCCACUGCGCCAGGCUCAAGGGGGGCGGCCCCGUCAGGGCCCGCCAUCUUGGAAGGCCUUUUUUGCCGGUUCUUCCCGCUGAGGAAGUGUCGCUCAAGACGCUGGCCUAUGAGUUGUGAUUUCUGCCUUUUCCCCUUCCUCCUUGGGCUAAGCCAGACCAGAAAGGGCCCCGUGCGCAACGUGCUUCACAAUCUCUCAGGGAAAGCGGCUAACGUGGCGCUACUCCGCCUCCCCUGUUCCUUACCCUUGGGGCGGCCGCCAUGUUUCCUGAACACAAAAUGGCGACACGUGGUUAGCAUUCGUCGCCAACGAGAAAUUGGGGUCGGCCCGAAAGCUCUAGAAUGCACCCCUCUUCCUCCCCGGGGCCUUCCACCUCCGCGAGUUUUAUGACUUAAAAAAGCCCACAGGCUGGUCUGAAGGUCGGAGGCCUAAUUUUAACGCGUUUUCCUCCCUUUAAUUUGAAACGGGAACGCGAAUGACUGUAAAAUGUGGGCACAAUAUUUAAUCUCUCGCCUUUUUAAAGCUUAAUAGUGGAUAAUAGGGGGGCAGUAUCAAGGGAUAAUUUGGGUCCCCACAGUACCAAAGCAUUUAGAAACCUCUGUUUAAUUUAAGGAAUGAGAUAAGUUACUGCUUUUCUAGACUUCCUAGCAUGGGCUGUUGUGCUGGAGAGAACGAGAGCUACGAAGAGACUACAGUGCCUCUGACUUUUUCAUAGGACAGUUGGCCGGUGAAUCUUAUUAAUAGUUUACCACAAUUAAGUGUUCAUUUUUAGUCUAGAAGGGACAGGCGUUUAUUGUGCAUUGGCCAGUGCCAGCACAUCCGAUGCAAGGCAGUUCACCGUAUUCUAUCUUUAAUUUUUACCAUGGUCCUCUGAGGUAGGUGUUCUUAUCUCUCUCUCUCUCUCUCUCUUUUAAACAGAGGAAGACAAACAUAAAGAUGAAGUGCUUAAUUCAAGGUCACACAAUGUCGGGGAUGGACCUCCAGAUUUCCUUACUGGUGAGACGUGGUCUUGUAACACAGUGGUUAAGAAUGUGACUUUGGAGCCAGCCUGCUAGGGGCUGAAUUCUGACUCAGCCAUUUACUAACUGUGUGACCUUAGGCUGGAGUGCAAUGGCAUGAUCUCGGCUCAUCACAACCUCUGCUUCCUGGGUUCAAGCGAUUCUCCUGCCUCAGCCUCCCGAGUACCUGGGACUACAGGCACUCGCCACCAUGCCCGGCUGAUUUUUGUAUUUUUAAUAGAGAUGGUUUCACUAUGUUGGCCAGGCUGGUCUCGAACUCCUGACCUUGUGAUCUGCCCACCUCAGCCUCGAAAAGUGCUGGGAUUACAGGCGUGAGCCACUGCGCCCAGCCUUGUAUUUUUUUUCAGUUUGGGUAGCUGUCCCUAAUUCAUUUGUUAAAGGAGAAGCAAGAGCAAGAACCUUUAAUCUGUUCUCCUCUUCCCUAAUUUGAAAGUAGCUUGUUAUUUUGAAUAUCACUUUCUCUGAAAUAGCACAUCUCCAUCUCAGAGAAUGGAUUUAAUGUUUGGAUACAGCCAAAAGUCAUUUCAUUACCAAACCAUGGGGUGAAUAUACCAUGUAAAGCAGUUUGGGAUCAGAACUCACAGUCUGAAUUGUAAGUGAUGAGACUGCUGUCUCUCUGCUACAGCUUCUUGGCUGGCUCUGAAGGCUCUUUGAAGGCAGAUCCUAACAAGGGGACUGCUUUGAAGGGCCAUUGUUCAUUUGGAAUGAUAAAGUCUAUGUUGUUCAAAAAACAAAUGCUUGUAGCAGGUAUUUUUUCACUCCAGACUGAGAAUAUUGGUGGGAUAUUGAUAAGGGGUACUGAAUGGUAAUAAACAUGUGCUCUAGCUCUGUGCUAGUCAGCUUAUUUCAGAACUCUAGUUUGAUUCAGUUUCUUGCCUCUGACUCAAAAUGGAGGGAGAGUGAUUUUUACAUAAGAGAACACACCCACAUAUCCUUUUGGCAGCAGCUACCUGCCAGAGAUGUUGAAGAAGAGUAGCCAACCUUUACACAGCAGAUAUUGUGUGCCAGUCAUAGUCCUAAGUAUAAUACCUUACAUGUAUAAACUUCUUAUAAGGUUGGUGCUCUGUACCGAAUUGAAUAGUAUCCCCCAAAAUUCAUGUUGUCCCAGAACCUAUGAAAGUGAUCUUACUUGAGGGAGGGGGGAGGGGGGAGGGAUAGCAUUAGGAGAUAUACCUAAUGCUAAAUGACGAGUUAAUGGGUGUAGCACACCAGCAUGGCACAUGUAUACAUAUGUAACUAACCUGCACAUUGUGCACAUGUACCCUAAAACUUAAAGUAUAAUAAUAAUAAAAUAAAAAAAAAAAAGAAAGUGAUCUUACUUGGAAAUAAGGUCUUUGCACAUAUGAUCAAGUUGAGAUGAAGUUGUACUGGAAAGUCUGUCUAGUGACUGGUGUUGUCAUAAGAAGAGAGGGACACAGAGGGAAGAUGGCCACAUGAAGAUGGAGGCAGAGAUUGCAGUUAUGCUGCUGCAAACUAAGGAAUGGCUCUGGCCCUCCAAGGAUUGCUGAUAACCACCAGAAACUAGAAGAGACAAGGAAGGAUUCUUCCCUAGAGCCUUCAGAGGGAGCAUGGCCCUACUGACACCUGGAUUUCAAACUUGUAGCUUCCUAAACUGCAAGAGAAUAAAUUUCUGUUGUUUUAAGCCA
rnacentral:lncRNA from 1 species